rnacentral:siRNA from 1 species
UAUAAUCGUACCUCCGAGUUA